CACUAAAAUUAGUGAAAAUCUUGAGAGAGUACAUGGAUUUACUUUUGGGGACAGUCUUGAUGAUAGUAAGAAAAGAAAGUGGCUAGACUUCAGAGCAAGGCUUAACAAGCUUCUGAGUGUGGAAGAUCCGUGGACAUUGAUCAUUGAUGAUGCCCUGGCUAAUUCUUUUGUCGCACCGGCAACUGACGAUGUUAAAGAUGACCAUCAGUUAUCAUUCGAGGAAUAUGAGAGGUCGUGGGAGCAGAAUGAGGAGUUGGGUCUGAAUGAUAUUGACACCUCUUCAGCUGACGCUACAUACGAGUCGACUGAUGCUACACGAAAGGAGAGAACAACUGUAUGAAAUUUUCUUGUUGUUUCCAUGUUUUCCAAUACAAGUGAAAGCACAUGCGCCUAGUCCUCAUUAUCUAUCAUUUUCAAGUUGUACGAGUUUCCUAUUUUCAAGUUGAAACAGUUUUGUUUUGUAUUUGUUUUUUGUGUUUUUAAAGGAAUCAAGUUGUAAAAACACGUGGGACGAUCCCUCGUGGUAGUUUGUAUCUUGUUAGAUAACUGAUGUUACUUAAUGAGAGCAAUCUAUAGUUUCUGUUUGGCUUCA